rnacentral:tRNA from 1 species
GGUUGUUUUCCCUACAUGUGGCAGAGCAUGCGGCUGUUAACCGCAGGGUCGUCCGUUCGAGCCGGACUCGAGGAGCCA